rnacentral:tRNA from 1 species
GGGUGUUGCUCAGUAGUAAAGCACAUGCUUGGCAUGCAUGAGGUCCUGGGUUCAAUCCCCAGCACCAAACA